CGCGUAGGCGGUUCAGCAAGCGGUGUGUGAAAGCCCGGAGCUCAACUCCGGAAUUGCACCCCGAACUGCUGUUCUCGAGGACAGGAGGGGCAUGUGGAACUCUAGGUGUAGCGGUGAAAUGCGUAGAUAUCUAGAGGAACGCCGGUGGCGAAAGCGACAUGCUGGCCUGUAUCUGACGCUGAGGCGCGAAAGCGUGGGUAGCAAACA
rnacentral:rRNA from 1 species